GCGUCCGUAGCUCAGCUGGAUAGAGUGUCGGCCUCCGAAGCCGANUGUCGGGUGUUCNAAUCACCUCGGACGCGCCA
rnacentral:tRNA from 1 species